rnacentral:lncRNA from 1 species
CCUAUAUCAUGUGAUUAACCUGAAGCUGGACAGAUUUGUACCUUUUCCUGGCCACAGGACUACCAGGUACCAGGUACCACCACACAGAGCUGCAGUGUAUACACAUAAAUAAAAAGAAAGGUUGUGCCAAAAUUCUUUGAUGGAACAGUUUGCAUUAUUUAAUGCCAGUUUCUCCAAAUCAGAAAGAACUGAACCAACUUAUGGGACAAUGAAAAGCAACUCAUCUUCAGGACAUCUUGAGAAAGGUGGAGAUGAAGGAUAUUGCCAUGCAAAAUGUCCCAGUGGAGAUCAUCUUCUUGUUUGGAGCUGCAGGCUGUGAGGAGUGGUGCAUGACCAGGUCCCUGUGCUGUUGCCUUUGCCUACCUCCAGGAAAGCGUCUGGCUGUUGCUGACAAGGGAGAGCUGUUUGAGAAGAUUACUCUGUGCCUCCUACUAGCAAUCAUCCACAGUACUUUUCCAAAAGUACUUUACUGAGUGGGAGCAGCAGAACACAUUUCUCCUGAAGAUACUCUUUGCGGGUCUGAUUUUUCCAUGAAUCUCCAGUUCAGCAAAGAAUACUUUAUCUUACCCUAACCACCAGUUGCAAACUAGCCAGGGAUUUCACUUACAUUUGCCUCUCGUGUUGCCUCUGGGCAGGACAUAGGACAGGUUACCCACAGCAGAGAAACUGCCACCACUGUAAGCUGGAAGUGUUCUCAAGGUAUAAUUUAAGUGAACUCAAGAGGAAAAAUAGCCCAGAGACAGCGCCUGUGGCCAAAAGCUCAGGCAGAAGUGGUGUCAUGUCAGUCCACAGCUAUGCAGCGAGCUACUCUGCAUCUUCCUGUCUUGGUUUCUCCCCUGUGAAAUGGGGAUUAAAAUACCCAUCUGUCUU